UACGGAAGGCAGCAGUGGGGAAUAUUGCACAAUGGGCGAAAGCCUGAUGCAGCUAUGCCGCGUGUAUGAAGAAGGCCUUAGGGUUGUAAAGUACUUUCAUCGGGGAGGAAAAAACAAAACUAAUAAUUUUAUUUCUUGACGUUACCCGAAAAAGAAGCACCGGCUAACUCCGUGCCAGCAGCCGCGGUAAUACGGAGGGUGCUAGCGUUAAUCAGAAUUACUGGGCGUAAAGAGCACGUAGGUGGUUUUUUUAAGUCAGAUGUGAAAUCCCUGGGCUUAACCUAGGAACUGCAUUUUGAAACUGAAAUACUAGAGUAUCGUAGAGGGAGGUAGAAUUCUAGGUGUAGCGGUGAAAUGCGUAGAUAUCUGGAGGAAUACCUGUGGCGAAAGCGGCCUCCUAAACGAAUACUGACACUGAGGUGCGAAAGCGUGGGGAGCAAAACAGGGAUUAGGAUACC
rnacentral:rRNA from 1 species